UCAUAUUCUCUGCCUUUUGGCUAAGAUUAAGUGUAUUAUCUGUUCUCAUCAGUUGGGGGGAUACCUCCUAGCUAAGGGAGGCAUGGUAGUACCCACCUUCA
ensembl:snRNA U2 U2 spliceosomal RNA